UUAGUAACGGCGAGUGAGCGGUAAAAGCUCAAAUUUGAAAUCUGGUACUUUCAGUGCCCGAGUUGUAAUUUGUAGAAUUUGUCUUUGAUUAGGUCCUUGUCUAUGUUCCUUGGAACAGGACGUCAUAGAGGGUGAGAAUCCCGUUUGGCGAGGAUACCUUUUCUCUGUAAGACUUUUUCGAAGAGUCGAGUUGUUUGGGAAUGCAGCUCAAAGUGGGUGGUAAAUUCCAUCUAAAGCUAAAUAUUGGCGAGAGACCGAUAGCGAACAAGUACAGUGAUGGAAAGAUGAAAAGAACUUUGAAAAGAGAGUGAAAAAGUACGUGAAAUUGUUGAAAGGGAAGGGCAUUUGAUCAGACAUGGUGUUUUUUGCAUGCACUCGCCUCUCGUGGGCUUGGGCCUCUCAAAAAUUUCACUGGGCCAACAUCAAUUCUGGCAGCAGGAUAAAUCAUUAAGAAUGUAGCUACUUCGGUAGUGUUAUAGCUUUUUGGAAUACUGUUAGCCGGGAUUGAGGACUGCGCUUCGGCAAGGAUGUUGGCAUAAUGGUUAAAUGCCGCCCGUCUUGAACAACGGGACCA
rnacentral:rRNA from 1 species